rnacentral:tRNA from 1 species
GCCCGGAUGGUCUAGUGGUAUGAUUCUCGCUUUGGGUUCACCAAAUCUAAAAUGCGAGAGGCCCCGUGUUCGAACCACGGUUCGGGCC